UUUAUCUGUUGAACACCAAACAUAAACAGAAAGAAGUAAUAAACUCAUUAUUUUCAUUAAUUUUACAAAGUAAACAAUUUGUUUGCAUUUGCGCGAGCAUAUUCACGCAGCGCUGUCUCGCGAGUGCACUGCACGUUUUUGAAUUCCAACGGUCGAGAAGAGAUUGAUCCCCGUCUGCUGAUUUAAAUUGAUGGUCUGACGGAAAUAUUGUUGUGCGGAUUUACACUAAAACACGAAAGAGCCUGAACCGCGACAGUGUCACAAGUUGCCUUACAUCGGUAAGUUUUGUUGUGCUUGUUGCAAACUGUUACAUUUUGUGUUUUCUGAUCCUAAGCUUAGAAAAAAAAGAUGCAAGACUGCAAACUUUCCAGUACUCCUGUGUACUGAUAAUCCGCUUUCCACCCAGUCCCAGGAGAUUAUAUUAAACCUGGAAAAUAUUGGAGAAGAUCAAUUAAGUUUUCAGGAGCACAUUACUGUGAUAAAUGCUGAACUAUGUAAAAGAAAACCUGACUACACCAACAUAUCAAAAAUCUAAUGAGAUGCGCUCUUUUUAAAAGAGUUGAUUUAAUGACAAAAUCAACAUGAGGUCAUGGACAUGUCCCCAUUUCUUCGGGUUCCACAA